GCAACAUUUUUUAUUCUUUUGCAGGAUUGGCGCGUUGGAUGGAGAAACUUGACUAUAGAACAUUGGAGCACAUAUCUGUGCAUUGGAGGAUAGUGAAGAACACUGGAGGAUAGCGGAAAAACUGGAAACUGCUUCAAUCCUGGAAAUAAUAUUUAUUGAGCCAACCCAUUUUCAAAAAAG